AUUGAACGCUGGCGGCAUGCCUUACACAUGCAAGUCGAACGGCAGCGGGGGAGAAGCUUGCUUUUCCUGCCGGCGAGUGGCGAACGGGUGAGUAAUACAUCGGAACGUGCCCUGUAGUGGGGGAUAACUAGUCGAAAGAUUAGCUAAUACCGCAUACGACCUGAGGGUGAAAGUGGGGGACCGCAAGGCCUCAUGCUAUAGGAGCGGCCGAUGUCUGAUUAGCUAGUUGGUGGGGUAAAGGCCUACCAAGGCGACGAUCAGUAGCUGGUCUGAGAGGACGAUCAGCCACACUGGGACUGAGACACGGCCCAGACUCCUACGGGAGGCAGCAGUGGGGAAUUUUGGACAAUGGGCGAAAGCUUGACGCAGCGACGCCGCGUGGAGGAUGAAGGUCUUCGGAUUGUAAACUCCUGUUAAGUGGGAAGAAAGACUCUUCUUUAAUAGGGAAGAGGGAUGACUGUACCAUUAGAGAAAGCACCGGCUAACUUCGUGCCAGCCGCCGCGGUAA
rnacentral:rRNA from 1 species